rnacentral:rRNA from 1 species
GGGUCAGUAGGUUGGUCGUGCCACCGGUACGUACCGGUCUCACUGAUUCCUCCUUCCUGAAGAACCGUAAUGCCAUUAAUUCGGUGUUGCGGGGAAACAGGACUGUUACUUUGAAAAAAUUAGAGUGUUUAAAGCAAGCUAACGCUUGAAUACAUUAGCAUGGAAUAAUGAAAUAGGACGAUCGAUCCUAUUUUGUUGGUUUCUAGGAUUGACGUA